rnacentral:rRNA from 1 species
CAGCAGCCGCGGUAAUACGUAGGGUGCGAGCGUUAAUCGGAAUUACUGGGCGUAAAGCGUGCGCAGGCGGUUUUGUAAGACAGGCGUGAAAUCCCCGGGCUCAACCUGGGAAUGGCGCUUGUAACUGCAAAGCUAGAGUGCGGCAGAGGGGGAUGGAAUUCCGCGUGUAGCAGUGAAAUGCGUAGAUAUGCGGAGGAACACCGAUGGCGAAGGCAAUCCCCUGGGCCAAUACUGACGCUCAUGCACGAAAGCGUGGGGAGCAAACAGGAUUAGAUACCCGCGUAGUCCUGUCUCUUAUACA